UCAAUAUAUAUGUAUAUAGUCAACAACACACAACAACAACAACGGUGAUAGAGCGAACGAACGAACCAACGACUGUGAAGUGUUUCAGUUCAUUGUUUGGUUUUCACCGUAUUUGUCUAUAAAAGAAGGAAGAGGAGCAGCCAAGGCAAAAUAGAUUGCACAUCAGCGUAUUUUCGCAAAGAAAUAAUAACAAGAAAGAAACAAAAACUACAACACAACCAGCAGAACUGCAACGCCACCGCUAUCGGUGGGGACCCAAACAAAUGACGAAAAGAUUCUAAUGAGUUCUCUUCAUUUGUGGAAAUAAACUGGACCUUUGACAGACAUCAAAUGCAGACGCUUGGAUAGCCUGUCAAAUAAGAACGUUGUAGUUGGUUGGUACUGAAAUAAAGGAUAAUUAAACCAAACUAUAAUUAAGACUUGUCCAAAUCCAAUUAUCGUCGGCGAAUGCACUCCAACUAUCCACGCCGGAGAGUAGCGCGCUAAAUUGUAAACAAGUUCCAAGUGGACACAAAGAACUUCAAUGAAUUUUAGUAGUUUGAAAACAAAGAGGAUACGUGAUUACAUGUUUCCCAUGUCUCGUUGUAUUUAUUGAAAGCUGAAGGAUAUCAACCGGAAAGUGUUUAUCAACAACAACAACAAGAACCUCUACAGGAAAAUUGCUUCCUUUGUUUGGUCAUUUUGAAAAAACCAAACAAAAACCUCAAAUACAGUUCGCUGUGGCUUUUUUUUCGGUUUUGCUCUGGAGAGCAGCAGAUAACAAACAAAAAGCAAAUAGCGACAGUCUGUCUGGCUGGCUGGACAGCGUCUAGUUGCAUCAAUCUAAACUAAAGUGAUAUUCAACAACGUCAACACAAAGUGACAUCGAUUAAAGGUGUAGUGAGAGUGAGUGUGGGAGAGUGGAAAUUGCAGAGUGUGGCUGUGUUUGACACAAAAACGCAUACAACAAAAAGAGAUUGAAACGAAAUUUUUAAACGGUCAUCUUGUGUAAACAAAUCUGUCGAAAAUUGUAUACAAUCAAUACGACGACACACAGAAGAGCAAAACAAAAAUUUAAAACCGCCAACAAAGAAAGAGGAAGCAUUUUGCCCCCAAAAAAAUUCAACAAUAA
rnacentral:sRNA from 1 species